CUUCCAGAAUUGCUCCAAUUCCAUCUGGAAGCAUUGUGCUCAGGCUUGUAAGAACCAGAAUUGUUUUUUCUUUUUUCUCGGCUUUUGUCUGCGCAAGAUGCCUGAAGACCCAAAGAGUCAGAACCUUUCGACUGUUUUCCUUUUGGUGCAGCUUUGGACGAAGAGGGUCGUUCGAUAAAGUCUCGCCGUUGUUGUUUUCCGUGUUUGAACAUGAAUGACUAUGAAGCUCACUCCUGUCCUUAGAAAAGUCUCCAUCCGCAUAAGGCCAGCAGAGACUGAACGGCGUCGGCAGUCGGGGGAAAGAACCCACCUGCUUAUCAACCGAAGCACGUGUUAUUACAUCUGAAAAGGAGGAUAUCCAAAUCAAACUGAAAUGACAGUGAAGGGACUGGCGCUGUGGCAUAGCGGGUAAAGCCACUACGUGCAGUGCCAGCAUCCCAUAUGGGCGCUGGUUUGAGUCCCAGAUGCUCCACUUCAGAUCCAACUCCCUGAUGGUGCACCUGGGAAAGCAGUAGAAGAUGGCCCAGGUGCUUGGGCCCCUGAACCCACGUGGGAGACCCAGAAGAAGCUCCUGGCUUCUCACUUCGGAUCGGCUCAGCUCGGCCGUUGCGGCCAAAUGGGGAGGAGUGGAUGGAAGACCUCUCUCUGCCUCUCCUUCUCACUCUGUGUAAUUCUGACUUGCAAAUAAAUAAAUCUUAAAAAAAAAAAAAAACCUGACUGUGAAGUGUUACUGAGAAUUAGGCAAAGACAAACUCCUAAAGUUGAAGUUAGGUAACUUAACAAAGACUUCUGUGUUAGUCACUGUGGGUUUUUUAAAUAUUUUAAACAAACAAACAAAAAAAGAAGCAAACAAUAUCUAUUAAGCAAAACUUAUCCCAGAUAUAGUCCCUAGUGACUUCUAUCCAAUGGUGGGCUUCAAUUUUAGGAGUACUACUUC